rnacentral:rRNA from 1 species
UACGGAGGAUGCAAGCGUUAUCCGGAAUGAUUGGGCGUAAAGGGUCCGCAGGUGGCAGUGUAAGUCCGCUGUCAAAGAAUGAGGCUUAACCUCAUCAAGGCAGUGGAAACUACACAGCUAGAGUACGGUCGGGGUAGAAGGAAUUCCUGGUGUAGCGGUGAAAUGCGUAGAGAUCAGGAAGAACACCGGUGGCGAAAGCGUUCUGCUAGACCUGUACUGACACUGAGGGACGAAAGCUAGGGGAGCGAAUGGG